CACGUAGGGCGCAAGCGUUUGUCCGGAAUUAUUGGGCGUAAAGAGCUCGUAGGCGGUCUGUUGCGUCCGCUGUGAAAACUCGGGGCUUAACCCCGAGCCUGCAGUGGAUACGGGCAGACUAGAGGUAGGUAGGGGAGAAUGGAAUUCCCGGUGUAGCGGUGAAAUGCGCAGAUAUCAGGAGGAACACCCGUGGCUAAGGCGGCUCUCUAGUACGGUACUGACGCUGAGACGCGAAAGCGUGGGGAGCGAACAGG
rnacentral:rRNA from 1 species